rnacentral:misc_RNA from 1 species
GAACGCAAAUUGCGCUCGAGGCCUCGGCCAAGAGCAUGUCUGUCUCAGCGUCGGCUUACCCCUCUCACUCCCCAAUCUUUGUCACCAAAGAGCUGGGGUAGUGGAUCUGGCCGUCCCGGUGUACAGCCGGGUCGACCGAAGUACAGAGGCUUGUGCUUGGAUCCCUUUAAGGGCAACAGCUUGGUAGGUGGCUUAUGCUGCAUGCCGCUGGAGCCUUGGAGUCCAAGCCUGUGGCCGGCAGGAAACCAUUCAAUCAUUCGACCUGAGAUCAGGCAAGAACACCCGCUGAACUUAAG